rnacentral:lncRNA from 1 species
GCACAUGGUUCUCUUUAUUGUGAUGCUCAGUGGAAAACAUCUGUAAACCAGCUUACUGUAGUGGUGACAGCUGCAACACAUGCUAAGGCACUUUUAUUAUAUAAAAAAGGGGGUAGGGUGGGAGUUUCACUCACUCCUUUGUGACAGCAACUGGGACCUGAAUUCAGAGCUUUGUAGGCAUAUGCAGCUUUUAUAUCACUUCAUGAUUUGAGAGUUUGUUUCCUUUAAAAAAAAAAAAUGCCUUCUUGCCGUAAGUCUCAAUGCAGCAUAUACAAAACAGUUAGGAAUACAAGUAAAUUCGGCAACCAGUGUAGACCAGUGAGGACGAGCUACUCUCUUCUAAACAAAGGCAGUGAGAAAGACUCGGAAUUUUAUCAUUUAUUACAAGAAAGGGGAAAAAAGAAAACCUUAUUUUGCUUUCAAAAAUACCUGUGCAGGUGGCAGAUUUUUAAACUAUACUGAGUCAACGGUGCAGGUAAACCACCCUCGGGCCCAGUCCUAGAGUAGACACAAGAUCGCCUGGGAGGGCCGCUGGCCCCUCUAACGCUCUGGCUGUCAGACUUGGGACAAGUCCCUUAACCAUUAAAUAUAUUUGGUCCCCAAGAGUGUUGGGAGAAGCCACUGGAAGGCUGCUGGCCUUUCCAGCUUGACCCCGACAGCCUUGCUGUGGCAGAGGCAGGCUGUCCUCGGUAAAGGAGGGGAGGGGGCAUUGCACUUGAGACAUUUUAGAAUCAGGAGGGAGACAGCGGACAGUGGCGCUGCCUGGGACAGGGUGGGGAGGAAUCCACUCCUCCCCCCACCCCAGCCUUCUGUGCCCUGCACAGAGGUGGAGGCCCAGGGCCUGCUCCUUCUGGACCGCCCAGAGCCAUGGGAGUGGGAGGCCCAAGGGGCAGAGGUGUGUGAGGUCACCACGUGUGAUUGCAAACAGCAAAGAAAGGAGGAGGAGUGGGGGCGCUGGUGGCAGACGUCAGGGAGGCUGACGACUGCGGGGGCUCCGACUACCAAAAGGCCUCAGUCUGAAGAAAAAUAGAUUCAUAGAAAACUCUGGCCCCUCCCCGGGGGCCUGCCCUGCUCGCCUCAACAUCUUGUGCUUUUUGGCAAGAGAGGCAGCACCUUCACCUCGUUGGC